GGUUGUGUGGUCUAGAGGUAUGAUACCUGCUUUGGGUGCAGGUGGCCCGGAGUUCGAUCCUCCGCUCAACCC
rnacentral:tRNA from 1 species